AGUGAACGCUGGCGGUAGGCCUAACACAUGCAAGUCGAACGGCAGCACAGUAAGGGCUUGCUCUUACGGGUGGCGAGUGGCGGACGGGUGAGGAAUACAUCGGAAUCUACUUUUUCGUGGGGGAUAACGUAGGGAAACUUACGCUAAUACCGCAUACGACCUACGGGUGAAAGCAGGGGAUCUUCGGACCUUGCGCGAUUGAAUGAGCCGAUGUCGGAUUAGCUAGUUGGCGGGGUAAAGGCCCACCAAGGCGACGAUCCGUAGCUGGUCUGAGAGGAUGAUCAGCCACACUGGAACUGAGACACGGUCCAGACUCCUACGGGAGGCAGCAGUGGGGAAUAUUGGACAAAGGGCGCAAGCCUGAUCCAGCCAUACCGCGUGGGUGAAGAAGGCCUUCGGGUUGUAAAGCCCUUUUGUUGGGAAGGAAAAGCAGCAGGUUAAUACCCCGCUGUUCUGACGGUACCCAAAGAAUAAGCACCGGCUAACUUCGUG
rnacentral:rRNA from 1 species